GGCGCAGUGGCAGAGUGGUCUAAUGCGCAAGACUAGAAUCUCCGAGAAGCUAAUCUUGUUCCUUCGGGAGCGUCUGUUCGAAUCAGGCCUGCGUCG
rnacentral:tRNA from 1 species